CCAUGAGCCGCAAACAACAUCAUCCUCACGAUCCCGCGAGCUCUGUCACAAAAGGUCCAAUAUCUACCCCCAUCUCACUUUCCUUUUAAGUAAGCCAAAAAUGUCGACACAGAUCACGUCCCAGAAACGGAGGGAAAGUGAGCCGAACGUGUUGGCAGAGAUAGCCGAGUCUUCCUCCAGGAAGGUUAAGCCAAAAACAGUACCGCCUCCUCAAUUCACCUCCCAAUGUUGCGAUCUCGCCUGAAGCAGGCAUGUCCAUCAUAGCCGCCACAAAGACUUUUCUAAGCUGACACUAGCCGGGAACUGUUGGGGGGUUUGGAUUGGUUCGUCCCCUCUGCUACCCGGUGUGAGAGAGUUCUUUUGCCCCAGUGGCCUAACGGAAAUAGUCUGGAACUGAUUGCGCAAUACAACGUUCCCCUGUUGAGGCUUUAUCGAGAACUUUAUUGAGCCGGUGGUAUUUGACAUUCUUCAUGCCAACCUAGAGGCACUUGCUGCCCACAAGCAAGCGCUCAAUGCAGAGACUGCCGUUGGAUUUCCGCACCCAUUUAAACCAACUUGUGACUGGAAUUUUCGACUACGUCCUUGGCUAUGACUCCCAGCUUUAUCUGCUUCCAAAUGUCCUCAAAUUUUGACAAUGGUUGCGUGAUCAUCGAUGCAAAGUGGGAUCGUUCAUCUACGUUACUGGGGCAAAAGAGCUCAGUUACCACCAAAGCCAGCCGGUAGCAGAGGGGAUGAGCCACCCGAUCCAAUCUCUCCAACAGUCCACUCAAUGGAACUGGCAGUUAUCUAUAUGGGCAUGCACCUUAGACUUUUCUUCCUCACUAAGCUUUGUAACAUGGGGACCCCCACUGAUAGACCAUGGCUGGCAUUCUGCAGGAGCGUAUGGAACUAUCCCACCCGAAGCGGAUCGUGCAGACUGUUUAGAGGAUAGUAUCGGAUGGGUUUGAAUGGUGGUUUGUACUUUAACGGCAAGCAACUAUUUACUUCUGGCUUCCGUGAUAUACGCAAAGGCGGCUUCGCCGCUGCCAAUUAUGACGGCCGCUUUUGUCUGUGUGGUCGAGGUGCUCAGGCCGGAAUUGAGGAAACUUGGACGUGGGACUCAAGUUUGGAUGUGAUUUCUUCCCGACAGCACCUUUGUGAAACUCUGUGUGAGGUGCUGUCGGAGCUUCUGAGCUGGUCAACCACGGGUUUAAAUUUUUAUUGCUCUUAUCUAUAACUACUUAUUAUAUAUACAAGACAUAUUUCAUACUGGUUCGCUACUGUUUCACUUCAGCUUUGCUUCUGCAUCACUUACAGCUUUCAAUUCCUUUGAGCACACACCCCUCGCCCUCUCUUGCAACCAUGUUGGGAACGCUCUCAGCAAACUAAUCCCAGACCGCCACGACGGAACAAUAACCUGCCCGCUCCGCUGCGACAAGACCUGCUUCACGACCGCGCUGGAGACCACGUCAACCGUCAUCACAGGCAUACUGAACACCGAGCCGGGCCUCGUCAGCUGCUGGAUCAUCGGCGUGCUCACCCACAACGGAUGCACAAUGCUCGUGCGCACCUUCUUCGCGUUAUACCAUAGCCGCAACUCCUGCGUCAGCGCCUCAUGGAACGCCAGAGCACUCGCCUUCGAGCCGCAGUAGUCCGCCAUCUCGCCCACCGCGAUGAACGACGCCAUGCUGGCCAUCGUCACGACGUGGCCGUGGUUCUCGCGGAUCAUGGCCGGCAGGAACUCGCGCACCAUCCAGAAGUGCGAGAUGGUGUUGACCUGGAAGGUGCGCUGGAUGCGCUCCUCGGGCUCGUCGAGGAUGGUGCCCCCAUAGCCCACGCCGGCGUUGUUGAUCAGCACGGUCGGGUCGCCGUGCGCGGCGCGGAUGGCGUCAGCGACAGCUUUGAUGAUGGCGGUCGAGGUGACGUCAGCUGCGUAGAAGAACACGUUGGGAGCUGCGUUUGCGUGUAAUGUCAGGACAUAUAUUUACUAUAUAUUCCAUUUUAUCUACUUCAAAUUCGGAGAGAUAUGGGGCGGAUGGCAUACGCAGCUUAAAGCUCGGCUCAACCACGUCUAAAAUGACAACUCUAACCCCCUUCUGUGCGAGGUCGAGCAUAAUCUGUUUUCCAAUGCCGCUGCACCCGCCUGUCAGGAGCACGAGUUCGCGAUUGUUGUCCCAUGGCCGCUGUCUUUGCCAAUUGUUCACAACCAGGCUUGAAAGGGUGCGGUUGGCGGAGCGGAGGAUACUGAUCACGAGCACAGCGAGAAGGGCCUUUGUGAGGAGCGAGGAGUUGAUAUAGGAGAGGAGUGGGUCAAGACUAUUACCGAGAUAGUGGUGGAGUAGGUCGUGGGGUUUUUGCAGGGCAGACAUUAUAUAUAUUUUUCCCCCUUUCUUUCUAUAUUUAUGUAAUAUCGAUAUCUCCCAUAUGUUAAUUUUUGUUCUUCAUAGAUUUUUUAUGGACUGGGAAGUGGGAUUUGGUGGUGGUGGUGGUGGUGGCGGUGGUCGUCGGAGUCAAAAUGGAAGUCGGUGUAGAGUAUUACGACUCCGUUGCUGGUUUCCUGAGCUAUUUGCCUUAAGCAGGGCAUGUCGCUUGUCAUUCUAUUUCUAUUAUAUUUGGCAUUUUAUAGGAUUCGCUGUCCGCUUGUAACAUCCUUGUGUUCGUCUGCUUGCGCCCGUGUCUCUCUGUACGCUGUAUGUAUAAUAUCGCAACAUCCUUGGCUUCCUGC
rnacentral:sRNA from 1 species